rnacentral:tRNA from 1 species
AGGCAUAUAAUCAUCUUUCUUUGUUUAGUGAUUUAAUCUUAAGGAUAAUGGAAAUAGAAAUUGAUUAUAUAUGCCUU